AUAUCGACACCUGUGCUGGCCGGACGUGAACAUCCCCCAUGACCAUACCAUCUUCUUCCCAGAGCAACCCGUAAGCUACACAGACUCAUAGUUCCCCUUCAUCUCAAUCUUCACAGCCAGCGUCCGGUAGCAAAAGUGGAGGAGAACGACGGCGCACCGCACCCCGAUGGUUUCGUCCAGCACACAGAUCCAUUGACAGGUGAAGUCCUCAUGGAUCAUAUCUCAUGGUCAAAGAAGAGAAUGACAACAAACCAGCCGAAGUCCCCGUGGCGCCGACGGUGCUGGCCACUGGAUGGAUAAGACGUCAGAGAAACAGAUAGGGUAAUCCAUUCCGGGCACCAGUGGAAGGACAUCAGAGUGCGAUAGAGCGUGCAAUUGAAGAAGCGACAGAACUUGGUAAAAAAAGUUGUUUUCGAACCAGCUAUUGGCAUGGUGUUCAAUUCUGAACAAGAGGCUUAUGAGUUUUACAACGCCUAUUCAUGGGAGAUUGGCUUCGGCAUCAGGCAGGGAAACAAAUACGUCAACAAUCAGAAUUACAAAUCAAAGCAAGACAUUCUUUGUUCCAGCGAGGGCAAGGAAACGGCGCCAAACUCAAAAUCAUGGCUGAUUCGAUAGGUGAAAGAAAAAUAUGGAAAUGCCGCAAUCACAUAGACUCUUCAGUAAAGGAAUUAGUAAGCCACAUGGGCCUUGAUAAUAUUAUCCCUCAGGAAGGUCUAUGGGGUUAUCCCUCAGGAAGGUCUAUCGGUAUGAGGAUGUCCCAUUCAGAAAAAGAUCUCUGCGCAGCAUGUGUGCAUCAAUAGCACAUGAGUCCAGCCAGGACGACAUCAACAAGACUUUGGGUCUGUUUUCAUCAAUGCAAGCUGAAAACAAAGGUUUUUAUUUUGCGGUGAAAACUGAUGAGGAAAGAAGAGUGCCCGGUUUAUUCUGGUGCCAUCAGAAGAGCAAGGCAGACUAUACAUGCUUUGGAGAUGUGGUUACGUUCGACACUACAUACAAGAGUAAUUUGUAUGAGAUGCCAGUGGGCUUGUUCAUCGGAGUAAACAAUCAUCACCAAUGUUGUAUAUUCGGCUGCGUUGUACUUCGCGAGGAGACAGUUGAAGCAUUCAAGUGGGCAUUUGAAACUUUCCUUGCAGCAAUGGGCAAUAGGGUUCCAGUGACAUUCUAUCAAUGGGUAUUUUGUUUAUGGCUUUAUCAAAACACUAAUGGGUGACAUUUUUCUUUUCUUACUUUUCAGAUCAAAGUAGACAGAUGGAGCUUGCCAUUGCAGAUGGUAUGCCAACAACUGUGCACUGCUGGUGCAAAUGGCAUGUAUUAAAGAAGAUGAAGGAGAAGGUUGGUAGUAUAUAUAUAGUUCUGUGACACAUACAGUCGUAUUUUUUUAAUCCCUCCGUUGGAUCAUGUUAUAUUAUAGGUGUGUUGGUUCAGUAUUUUUUUCAGAAUUUUUGAGAACUUUUGCACCGUUGAAACCCUUAACUAGUUCUGUGGCAAGCACUUUUAGAAAAUCCUACUCCUAUAUAUAGGUAAAACUGUGUAUACCAUAGCUUGCCACAGAACUAGUUAAGUGUCCCUAAACUUUUAACGGUUCAAAAGUUAUCAAAAAAUAUGAAAUAAAUAUGGGAGCAUCUCUCUAAUGUAAUAAGAUGAUCCAACGGAGGGAUUGUCAAAAUAUGCAUCUGUGUGUCCUCGGCAAAAAUAAUAAGCAUUUCAGCUCACUGUGACAUAAAUAUAUACUGAACUAUUUGUUUUUUGUCCAGGACACAUACAGUUGUAUUUUUUUAAUCCCUCCGUUGGAUCAUGUUAUAUUAUAGGUGUGUUGGUUCAGUAUUUUUUUCAGAAUUUUUGAGAACUUUUGCACCGUUGAAACCCUUAACUAGUUCUGUGGCAAGCACUUGUAGA